GUGAGGAAUAUUGGUCAAUGGGCGCAAGCCUGAACCAGCCAUCCCGCGUGCAGGAAGACGGCGCUAUGCGUUGUAAACUGCUUUUCCAGGGGAAGAAAACCUGAUACGCGUAUCGGCUUGCCGGUACCCUGGGAAUAAGCAUCGGCUAACUCCGUGCCAGCAGCCGCGGUAAUACGGAGGAUGCGAGCGUUAUCCGGAUUUAUUGGGUUUAAAGGGUGCGUAGGCGGAUUAAUAAGUCAGUGGUGAAAACCUGCAGCUUAACUGUGGAACUGCCAUUGAUACUGUUAGUCUUGAGUACGGUCAAGGUAGGCGGAAUGUGUAAUGUAGCGGUGAAAUGCUUAGAUAUUACACAGAACACCGAUUGCGAAGGCAGCUUACUGGGCCAUUACUGACGCUGAUGCACGAAAGCGUGGGGAGCGAACAGGAUUAGAUACCCCAGUAGUCC
rnacentral:rRNA from 1 species